UGCCACGUGGCCUAGCGGCUAGCGCUGUUGUCUUUGAAACUCUCAUCGCGGGUUCAAGCCCCACUGGGGUUG